rnacentral:rRNA from 1 species
UCAGGACGAACGCUGGCGGCGUGCUUAACACAUGCAAGUCGAACGGUAAGGCCCCUUCGGGGGUACACGAGUGGCGAACGGGUGAGUAACACGUGGGUGAUCUGCCCUGCACUCUGGGAUAAGCCUGGGAAACUGGGUCUAAUACCGGAUAUGAGCUCCUGUCGCAUGGCGGGGGUUGGAAAGGUUUACUGGUGCAGGAUGGGCCCGCGGCCUAUCAGCUUGUUGGUGGGGUAAUGGCCUACCAAGGCGACGACGGGUAGCCGGCCUGAGAGGGCGACCGGCCACACUGGGACUGAGACACGGCCCAGACUCCUACGGGAGGCAGCAGUGGGGAAUAUUGCACAAUGGGCGAAAGCCUGAUGCAGCGACGCCGCGUGAGGGAUGACGGCCUUCGGGUUGUAAACCUCUUUCAGCAGGGACGAAGCGAGAGUGACGGUACCUGCAGAAGAAGCACCGGCCAACUACGUGCCAGCAGCCGCGGUAAUACGUAGGGUGCGAGCGUUGUCCGGAAUUACUGGGCGUAAAGAGCUCGUAGGCGGUUUGUCGCGUCGUCCGUGAAAACUUGGGGCUCAACCCCAAGCUUGCGGGCGAUACGGGCAGACUUGAGUACUGCAGGGGAGACUGGAAUUCCUGGUGUAGCGGUGAAAUGCGCAGAUAUCAGGAGGAACACCGGUGGCGAAGGCGGGUCUCUGGGCAGUAAC